UACACACGCACACACAAAGAGAGAGAGAGAAUAACAAUAGAAAAUGUGAUGGUUGCUAUUUGCAAUCUUGAGUGAUAGGAAGUCCUAAAGGGUCCAAAUAAACCUGCAGAGAAUUUAUGUUACACAGGCAUUCAUCACAUGUGACAGUAUUUAGAAUGAAUCACACUGGCACUACUGUAUGAUAGUAAUUACUUUAAUGUAAUGUUGCAGUGCCUGUUGAAGGCUAGCGGAAUGCAGCAAAAUAGUGCUAUGCACCAUGUGCUAUGACAGCACUGUGUUGAACACAUCCAUAGUGCUCAUUUAUAUGAGUAGUUUUUAUGCAAAUCAAAAAGCCCAUAGCAUGUAAUGGGGAAACUAAAUGUGACCGUGAAAGCUAAACUGAUAUGGGAAAUUAUAUUUCUUAUUUUGCUAAUUAUGGGCAGUGUCAACCUCAGUACAGCGAAUAAACGAACAGAAUGACAGUUAAGUUCAGACUACAGAAUGUGUCAUGUGUGGUUUAAUACUUCAAAUUGUAGAUCUUACAUGCUGUUGCCUACAGUGUUUGAAAAGAAGCACAAAAAUUACCAAGUGCAAAUCCAUGCGUGGAUGUUUCCUGUAUCCCUCAUAUUUUAACCUGCUUGAAUUAGAAGAACAUACAGUAGGCUAGAGCUAUCUGAAAACAUCUGUAGGACAUGGAGUACCCUGCCCUGUAGCAGUUAUUUGGGGAAUUUUACUUUUCCUAAGAAUUGUUUUUUAUCCUUUUUUGUAAAUCUGAAUGGUUUACAUAUUCUAGAAUGACCAAAUGGCCUGUCAUGUGGAGUAAAUUUAACAGUAACAGUGUUUCAAAGUAAGCACUUACAACCAAGGCAAUUUUCCUUAUAAACUAUUAUUGGUUUAAUUUACAUAAUAUUAAACUAUUAUUGGUUUGAUUUACAUAUUAUAAAUCAUAAAAAUAAUACUAAUAAUAAAAAAUAAAAAAACAUGACAAGCCUUGUUAAUGAAAUGCUGGCAAUACAAUUAAUUCUAACAAAUAUUAACUGAAAUUUAUAGAGAUCCUGCUUUGGGGUAGCUCUAAAACAGAAGUUCAGUUUUGUUAGCAAAGGAUUCAAUUUCUUCAGCUUGCAUCAGAUGAAAGAGGCUAAACUCAAGAGAAGGAUUCAUUUACUUAUUUAAAAAACUAACUACUAAGAUACUUGAAUCUAAAAGCAAGUCUAGCUAGUUAGAGAAGAACAUAAGUAAUUCUGUGUCUUUUGAAUUUUCACAAUCCUUUCAUUUUCAAAGGAUAUGUGUUGAAUUGGAAUUAAUGACUUAGCUUUACUGAUUUUACAAAUAGCCAUAUGGAAGGUAGAUUGUACUUAAUUCUUGAUAAUUAUGCUACCAUAUGUUUUGUUUUAGUAUCUUUUUAUUUAAAACAGAAAAAUUGUUAAAUGCAAAGCUGUACAGCUCCACAAUUAUGCACCACUUCUAGUGAAUAAGAAUUAGAAAUCAAGGUUUCAAAUAAAACAAUAUCUAUAAUAAAUGUGAACAGAUAAUGGCUGUAUUCAGUGCUUAAAGAGUAUCAGGUCCAGUCUGAAAGACAUUUAAAAAAAUAAAGAAUCUAUUAAUGUGAAGUAGAUAGAUUCAUUUACAAAUGUCCCAGCUGAAGAAUUUCAGCAGAACUACAUUCAAGUGCAGUCUUCUUUUUUUUUUUCUGAAUAUCCCAAAAGCAUGUAAUUUCAUUAUCAAUGCAUAUGCAUCUAAAUGAGGUGUUAAAUGAAAAUAAAAGACAAAAAGUGAUGCAGAGACAUUCAGAAGUGGUUUAGAGAAAGAGAGACUGGUGUUUUUGUAAAAUCUGCCCUGAAUACCACCAGAUUGCCCCUUCUUAGUCAUGUCAAUUCUUAAACACAGAAAAUUGUGUAAAUGCACAAUGUUACUGCCCCCCCCCUUCAGUCAAAAAAAAAAAUGUAUAUGCUGUAAAUCAGUACUAUUUAUAAAACAUGUAAUAUGUAAUGUACAUGUACAUAUGUUUUAUGUUUUUAUUGUGCCAGGUACUCUGUAUGUAUGAAUUAUUUAGAUAAGAUAAAACAACUAUGUUUUUUACGCCACUUUGCCAACUGAAUGAUGCUGAAGUACUAUGUAAUAAAAC
ensembl:lncRNA